rnacentral:rRNA from 1 species
GACGAACGCUGGCGGCGUGCUUAACACAUGCAAGUCGAGCGGUAAGGCCCUUUCGGGGGUACACGAGCGGCGAACGGGUGAGUAACACGUGGGUGACCUGCCCUCAGCUCUGGGAUAAGCCUGGGAAACCGGGUCUAAUACUGGAUAUGACUCCAUGACGCAUGUUGUGGGGUGGAAAGCCUUGUGCGGCUGAGGAUGGGCCCGCGGCCUAUCAGCUUGUUGGUGGGGUGANGGCCUACCAAGGCGACGACGGGUANCCGGCCUGAGAGGGCGACCGGCCACACU